rnacentral:rRNA from 1 species
GUCGUAACAAGGUAUCCGUAGGUGAACCUGCGGAUGGAUCAUUAACAAUAUUUAUUAAUAUUUAACACUUGUGAACUGUAUGGGAGUUUAUCUCCCAGUUUUUAUAAUUUUUUUAACUGAAUUCAUGAUUUUAAUAACAAUCAUAAAACUUUUAGCAACGGAUCUCUAGGCUCUCGCAACGAUGAAGAACGCAGCGAAUUGCGAAAAGUAAUGUGAAUUGCAUAUACCGUGAAUCAUCAAAUCUUUGAACGCACCUUGCACCAUUGGGAAUUCUCGAUGGUACGUCUGUUUGAGUAUCAAUUAAGUUUUGCAAGUUUGCUUGGUAACAAGCAAGCAUUGCGCUUCGAAUGUAUAGUUGCUAAAGUAACUACCAUUUUGGAUUCAUAGUCUGGCACAACCAGUCAACAGAGUUUAAGCAUUCUGCUAGAUUAUUGUGUCAACAGACUUUUGUGUAACUAGUAUGCACUAUAACUUUGAUCUCAAAUCAGACGAGGAUACCCGCUGAACUUAAGCAUAUUAAUAAGCGGAGGAAAAGAAACUAACUAGGAUUCCUUUAGUAACGGCGAGUGAACAAGGAUCAGCUCAAAUUUGAAAUCUCGCAAGAGAAUUGUAGUUUAUGGAGAUGUUUUCGUUGGCGACCUGGGUAAAAGUUCCUUGAGAUGGGACAUCAUAGAGGGUGAGAAUCCCGUAAGUGAUCCAGACCUCCGUCAUAAUUCGAUACAUUCUUUACGAGUCGGGUUGUUUGGGAAUGCAGCCCAAAAUAGGUGGUAAAUUCAUCUAAAGCUAAAUACCGGCGAGAGACCGAUAGCGAACAAGUACCGUGAGGGAAAGAUGAAAAGAACUUUGAAAAGAGAGUUAAACAGUACGUGAAAUUGCUAAGAGGGAAACGUUUGAGAUCAGUGUUGCCUUCUGGAAAUCAACUUGUCAGCAAUGGCAGGUGCACUUUUCAGUUGGCAGGUCAACAUUGGUUUCGUGCGUAGGAUACUAGCCCGGAAAGGUGGCCUUCUCUUCGGAGUCGGUGUUAUAGUCCGAGUGAAUACUAUGUACGGGACCAAGGAACGCGAUGUAAGCUUAGCGGACGAACGCGUCGCUGUGUGGAUUACGCUUGCUGGAUGCUUGCAAACUGUAGGUACAUUCCAUACACUGGCGUGCUAGUACCAUUACAUCAAGGAUGUUGACGAAAUGGUCUUAAACGACC